rnacentral:rRNA from 1 species
UACGUAGGUGGCAAGCGUUGUCCGGAUUUACUGGGCGUAAAGAGCUCGUAGGCGGUCUGUCGCGUCUGCUGUGAAAACUCAGGGCUUAACCCUGAGCUUGCAGUGGGUACGGGCAGACUAGAGUGCGGUAGGGGAGACUGGAAUUCCUGGUGUAGCGGUGAAAUGCGCAGAUAUCGGGAGGAACACCAGUGGCGAAGGCGACUUCCUGGCCUGUUCUUGACGCUGAGGCGCGAAAGCUAGGGGAGCAAACGGG